AUUGAACGCUGGCGGCAGGCCUCACACAUGCAAGUCGAACGAGUGGCGGACGGGUGAGUAAUGUAUGGGACACUGCUCGAUGGUGGGGGAUAACUACUGGAAACGGUAGCUAAUACCGCAUACCAUCGGAUGUGCCCAGAUGGGAUUAGCUAGGAUGUGGGGUAACGGCUCACCUAGGCGACGAUCCCUAGCUGGUCUGAGAGGAUGAACAGCCACACUGGAAGUGAGACACGGUCCAGACUCCUACGGGAGGCAGCAGAGGGGAAUAUUGCACAAUGGGAGCAAGCCUGAUGCAGCCAUGCCGAGUGUAUGAAGAAGGCCAUCGGGUUUGAAAGUACUUUCAGCGAGGAGGCGUUACUCGCAGAAGAAGCACCGGCUAACUCCGUGCCAGCAGCCGCGGUAAUUC
rnacentral:rRNA from 1 species